AUUGAACGCUGGCGGCAGGCCUAACACAUGCAAGUCGAGCGGAGCGGCGGACGGGUGAGUAAUGCCUAGGAAUCUGCCUGGUAGUGGGGGAUAACGUCCGGAAACGGGAGCUAAUACCGCAUACUAUCAGCUGAGCCUAGGUAGGUUUCGCUAGUUGGUGGGGUAAAGGCCUACAAAGGCGACGAUCCGUAACUGGUCUGGAGAGAUGAUGAGACACACUGGAACUGAGACACGGGCCAGACUCCUACGGAAGGCAGCAGUGGUGACUAGUGUACAAGGGGCGCAAGCCUGAUCCAGCCAUGCCGCGUGUCUGAAGAAGGCCUUCGGGUUGUAAAGGACUUUUGUCAGGGAAGCGGUACCUGAAGAAUAAGCACCGGCUAACUACGUGCCAGCAGCCGCGGUAAUAC
rnacentral:rRNA from 1 species